AUGCUCACUGUGGCAGCAUAUAUACUAAAAUUAGAACAAUACAGAGAAGAGUAGUGUGGUCCCCUGUACAAGGAUGACACACAAAUUUGUGAACAUUCCAUAUUUUUU
rnacentral:snRNA from 1 species